rnacentral:rRNA from 1 species
AUUGAACGCUGGCGGCAUGCCUUACACAUGCAAGUCGAACGGCAGCACGGGGGCAACCCUGGUGGCGAGUGGCGAACGGGUGAGUAAUACAUCGGAACGUGUCCUGGAGUGGGGGAUAGCCCGGCGAAAGCCGGAUUAAUACCGCAUACGAUCUCAGGAUGAAAGCGGGGGACCGAAAGGCCUCGCGCUCAAGGGGCGGCCGAUGGCAGAUUAGCUAGUUGGUGGGGUAAAGGCCUACCAAGGCGACGAUCUGUAGCUGGUCUGAGAGGACGACCAGCCACACUGGGACUGAGACACGGCCCAGACUCCUACGGGAGGCAGCAGUGGGGAAUUUUGGACAAUGGGGGCAACCCUGAUCCAGCAAUGCCGCGUGUGUGAAGAAGGCCUUCGGGUUGUAAAGCACUUUUGUCCGGAAAGAAAACCUCCGUCCUAAUACGGUGGGGGGAUGACGGUACCGGGAGGAUAAGCACCGGCUAACUACGUGC